AACAAAAGCUGGCGGCGUGCCUAAUACAUGCAAGUCGAACGGGGAAAGCUUUCGGGUGAGUACUAGUGGCGCACGGGUGAGGAACGCGUGGAUAAUCUGCCAUAGAGUGGGGGAUAACUAGUCGAAAGAUUAGCUAAUACCGCAUAAGACCACAGGAGCUGCGGCUCAAGGGGUCAAAGGUUUUUCGCUCUAAGAUGAGUCCGCGUAAGAUUAGCUAGUUGGUGAGGUAACGGCUCACCAAGGCGACGAUCUUUAACUGGUCUGAGAGGAUGAUCAGUCACACUGGAACUGAGACACGGUCAAGACUCCUACGGGAGGCAGCAGUAGGGAAUAUUGCACAAUGGAGGAAACUCUGAUGCAGCGACGCCGCGUGAGUGAUGAAGGCCUUCGGGUCGUAAAGCUCUGUCGCGGGGGAAUAACACAAUGAAUGUACCCUGUAAGAAAGGAUCGGCUAACUUCGUGCCAGCAGCCGCUGUAACAC
rnacentral:rRNA from 1 species